GACGAACGCUGGCGGCGUGCCUAAUACAUGCAAGUAGAACGCUGAAGGAGGAGCUUGCUUCUCUGGAUGAGUUGCGAACGGGUGAGUAACGCGUAGGUAACCUGCCUGGUAGCGGGGGAUAACUAUUGGAAACGAUAGCUAAUACCGCAUAAGAGUAGAUGUCGCAUGACAUUUGCUUAAAAGGUGCAAUUGCAUCACUACCAGAUGGACCUGCGUUGUAUUAGCUAGUUGGUGAGGUAACGGCUCACCAAGGCAACGAUACAUAGCCGACCUGAGAGGGUGAUCGGCCACACUGGGACUGAGACACGGCCCAGACUCCUACGGGAGGCAGCAGUAGGGAAUCUUCGGCAAUGGACGGAAGGCUGACCGAGCAACGCCGCGUGAGUGAAGAAGGGUGUCGGAUCGUAAAGCUCUGUUGUAAGAGAAGAACGAGUGUGAGAGUGGAAAGUUCACACUGUGACGGUAUCUUACCAGAAAGGGACGGCUAACUACGUG
rnacentral:rRNA from 1 species